GGGAGAGGAGAGUUCUAAUGAGUCUAAACUGGCUUUGUUAUCCAAAUCUCGAAAGUUAUGCUCACUCAUUUCAAAGAGAUAUUGCUUUGGAGACCUGAAGGAAGUCAGUCUAUCUCAGCCCAGCACGCUAAUUGGCUGCCCUGCUGAACCCCUUCUGGCUUUUUAAAAGAAUGGCCACCUUCACCCAAGUAACCUUCAGCCUACACUCUUUCCUGGAGCUCCUCGUACAUCACCAAAGACCUCCAUCCUCUUCUUGUCUACAUUUCAUUUGGUUGGGAGGAACAAUUGCAUACCUCUGAAGUGCUUGAAAGAGGCUGUGAAUGAAGAUGGAUGAAAGGAAUGUUGUCAUUUUACACCUCUUCCUCUGUUUUGACUGCAGAAAUAAAAGUUUAAUUUCUGCAUCUGAAUGUAUUUAAUG